rnacentral:rRNA from 1 species
AUUGAACGCUGGCGGCAGGACUAACACAUGCAAGUCGAACGACUGGCGGACGUGUGAGUAAUGUCUGGGAAACUGCCUGAUGUAGGGGGAUAACUACUGAAAACGGUAGCUAAUACCGCAUACCAUCCUCUGUGCCCACAUGGGAUUAGCUAGCUGUUGGGGUAACGGCUCACCAAGGCGACGAUCCCUAGCUGGUCUGAGAGGAUGACCUGCCAAACUGGAACUGAGACACGGUCCAGACUCCUACGGGAGGGAGAAGUGGGGAAUAUUGCACAAUGGGCGCAAGCCUGAUGCAGCCAUGCCGCGUGUAUGAAGAAGGCCUUCGGGUUGUAAAGUACUUUCAGCGGGGAGGCGUUACCCGCAGAAGAAGCACCGGCUAACUCCGUGCCAGCAGCCGCGGUAAUUC